CAUCGGAUCAAAUUUGUCAUAAAAUUUAAAUUCUUUCUUGAAAAUGUAUAUUGGUUUUACCUCUUGCAAUGAAAAAAGACUUGUUGUAAAUUGCCGGAG